rnacentral:lncRNA from 1 species
UUGGAGUUUUUUUAUAUUUUUGAAAGAAAGUUAGCAAACCUUUUUAUCCUCAUAGGUUCUCUCAGAUCACUCAUUAUCUUUUAUAUAUAUCUCACUGAGGUUGUUUUAAUUUGCAAAAAUUCUCAAGCAUACUUACUUUGUAUUUAUUGCCUGAUCAAAACGGGAUCCGAGGAGGGGAAUGUCAUACUCUUAGAUCAAAGACUUUGGAAAUUAAAAUCUUUGUCAACUCUUGCUGG